UUUAAAUAUAAGGAUGGGCAAUAUUCCUAUUGAUAAUGACAUCACUACAGUAAAAACGGUGUAUAGCGGCACUUUUAAAUGUCGAUACAGGUCAAAAAAAGUGUUGCUGGCUAAAUUACUGACACUUUUAAAAAGUGUUGCUAUAUUGGGAUCGCUAGGUAUAUAGAGAUAUUUUAAGAGUGUCGGUAUAAUCUAAAAAAUAUGCUGCUAAUUUAUCAAUACUUAUUUAAAUAUUUAGCAACCGCCGAAACUCUAUCUCGUUGGCUGCUGUGGCGGAGGAGGAGGAGAGCGAAGAGCUCUUCGUCUAGAGUUUCAGUGGAUUGAGUGAGGGGAGAAUGGGAGAUGGUGAUCAAUUUUUUUUUUUUUUCUUUUUUGUUUGUAAUCGGGCCGAAUGGGUUGGAUGGGGUGAGUUGAUUAGAGUAACCUUUUAUUUUUUGUUGGAUUGGGCUUUAUAUUUAGGCUUUGCUAGAUUUUUUUUUAAGUUUUGUCAUAGAUGGGACACUUACACAAAAAGUGUUUCAAACAUGUGUCCUUAUAACUUAAUUCUGUUGUAGUGCAUAUAUCCAUGAUGACUGAUUUCAACUAGAAAGUAGACAACAAAUAUAUUUAAACUCCAAUAGCAAUAGAUAAUUAAUC
rnacentral:lncRNA from 1 species